rnacentral:rRNA from 1 species
CAGCUAGUUGGCGGGGUAAUGGCCCACCAAGGCUACGACGGGUAGCUGGUCUGAGAGGAUGGCCAGCCACAUUGGGACUGAGAUACGGCCCAGACUCCUACGGGAGGCAGCAGUGGGGAAUAUUGCGCAAUGGCCGAAAGGCUGACGCAGCGACGCCGCGUGGGGGAGGAAGGUCUUCGGAUUGUAAACCCCUGUUGCCCGAGACGAAUCCUGGUUUAAACCAGAUUGACGGUACCGGGUGAGGAAGCACCGGCUAACUCUGUGCCAGCAGCCGCGGUAAUACAGAGGGUGCGAGCGUUGUCCGGAAUCACUGGGCGUAAAGGGCGCGUAGGUGGCUUGCCAAGCGUGUGGUGAAAGCCCGGAGCUCAACUCCGGGUCUGCCAUGCGAACUGGCAGGCUAGAGCACGGUAGAGGCCAAUGGAAUUCCGGGUGUAGCGGUGGAAUGCGUAGAGA